rnacentral:rRNA from 1 species
AGAGUUUGAUCAUGGCUCAGGACGAACGCUGGCGGCGCGCCUAACACAUGCAAGUCGAACGGAGCUUAGAGAGCUUGCUUUUUAAGCUUAGUGGCGAACGGGUGAGUAACGCGUGAGUAACCUGCCCUAGAGUGGGGGACAACAGUUGGAAACGACUGCUAAUACCGCAUAAGCCCACGGUACCGCAUGGCACUGAGGGAAAAGGAUUUAUUCGCUUUAGGAUGGACUCGCGUCCAAUUAGCUAGUUGGUGAGGUAACGGCCCACCAAGGCGACGAUUGGUAGCCGGACUGAGAGGUUGAACGGCCACCAUUGGGACUGAGACACGGCCCAGACUCCUACGGGAGGCAGCA